GAAUUGGGUGAGGAAAGUCACGGAGUUACGGAGAUAACUAGCGAAGAGGCGAUUUGAUAGCGAUUUGGAGGAUGAAUACAAGGUCGAUGAUGAGGAGGAGAAAAUUGACUGUUUGUGCAGACAGAGAACCGUAUCUACGUCGUUUGGGUAGAACUGGUCGGAAAGGCCAGGAAGGAAUAGGGAGCCUGAUGUCGGCACCAUGGGAAGACUUCUUUUUUAGUAGCAUCAAGGACUCGCCAAUCACCAAGGCUCCAUUGCCAACAGUAGAAAACAAGUAUCUGAAUCACUUCCUUUACUACCAUAUUUGUUGCUUUAUUGGCUUAAAAAUACUUAAACAAUUACAUACUCACUCUAUUGCAAUUAUGCUGAAGUAUAUAUGCCCGAUGUUUUAUAUAGCUGUAUUUUGUUGUUUGAUAAUGUGUUUUUGCCAUCUUAUGCACCUUUUUGUUUCUUUUCCCUGUAAUUUUUCACUUCUGUUGUUUGACUUGAAGCUGAUUCUGCAAUUUUUAGCUCUUCACUGUCGAAUGAUAGGUAGUUCACACUCAAUUGUAUUUAGUCAUUUUGAAGAGUGAAUUUGAGGGUACCAUCAACAGCCUGCUUUUGUCUUGGGCUUUUGCAAAGAGCUUGGAUAGUUGCUGUCAGCUGUUGUUGAUGGCUAGAAGUAGAGGGUCCACUUUGGGUACAGAGUGCUGACGACAGUCCUUGCAUCGGCAUAGAAGACUGGUGAACUAGAAUCUUGGGCCUAGAUAUCACCAAUGUGGAGUGGGCAGUGGUGCGUCCAGAGAUGAAGAACUAAGAAUCAGCAUAUCAACCAUGGCUUGAAUUCUGUAGUUCCAGUAAAAAUAUUGGUUCAGAAUCAGCUUGUAACUCUUGCUAAUGUGUUUAGCCCAGGCAUAAUACUCAGCCCCUGGUUUACAAGCAAGUUGUUUCUCACAUGCUUCAAUAUGGUUUUGUUGUUGGCUGUUAAUUGGGUAUGGGUGAUGGAAAAGAAAUCCUGUUGUCUUAACUUGUACCAUUAGGAAAAUACAUUUGGAAUGCAAAAUCUUAUAGCUUGUUGGAUCUUGCAUUGGCUCUUCUUCUGGACCGAGAAAGAUCGUGGCGAGGGUUUGAUGAGUACAUAGCGGAUGGCACUAGAUACUGCAUCUCGGUAACUAAAAUUACUCGGCCG